rnacentral:tRNA from 1 species
GGGCCCAUAGCUCAGCUGGUGAGAGCGCCCGGCUCAUAACCGGGUGGUCCUUGGUUCGAGUCCAAGUGGGCCCA